GGGAAUUUUGGACAAUGGGCGCAAGCCUGAUCCAGCAAUGCCGCGUGAGUGAAGAAGGCCUUCGGGUUGUAAAGCUCUUUUGUCAGGGAAGAAACGGCUGUGGCUAAUAUCCACGGCUAAUGACGGUACCUGAAGAAUAAGCACCGGCUAACUACGUGCCAGCAGCCGCGGUAAUACGUAGGGUGCAAGCGUUAAUCGGAAUUACUGGGCGUAAAGCGUGCGCAGGCGGUUUUGUAAGUCUGUCGUGAAAUCCCCGGGCUCAACCUGGGAAUUGCGAUGGAGACUGCAAGGCUAGAAUCUGGCAGAGGGGGGUAGAAUUCCACGUGUAGCAGUGAAAUGCGUAGAGAUGUGGAGGAACACCGAUGGCGAAGGCAGCCCCCUGGGUCAAGAUUGACGCUCAUGCACGAAAGCGUGGGGAGCAAACAGG
rnacentral:rRNA from 1 species